AUUUACAGUAUUUUCAAACUGUUAAUCAAGUGACAACAUGGCAACUAAGUUUAUUUGUAUAGCUUUGGCACUGAUGCUGAUCUGUAUCAUAAUAAGUCCUGCAGAAGUAGAUAGUUCGAGUUCGGAAUCAAGAGAAAGUCAAUCAGCAAGUGAUUCAUUUGAAUCGGUCGAAACGAUCGAGGAAUUAGGCGAUAAUACUCGGUUAGAUUUUGGGAAGAAAUAGCUGCUCUAAAAGUUCUAAACUCAGUCGCCGGCUUUUACAAGAUAAAGUGCAAUUCAUGCUGUGUACUUGAUGAGUGAUUAAGAACGAAACGACUUUUAACUAUCAACAAUGAUUAAUUGGUGGUGGUUAUAUUAUACCUUUAACUGUAUUAAAAUAUUCU